rnacentral:rRNA from 1 species
GGGUCAGUAGGUUGGUCUUGCCACCGGUACGUACUGGUCUCACUGAUUCCUCCUUCCUGAAGAACCGUAAUGCCAUUAAUUUGGUGUUGCGGGGAAACAGGACUGUUACUUUGAAAAAAUUAGAGUGUUUAAAGCAAGCUAACGCUUGAAUUCAUUAGCAUGGAAUAAUGAAAUAGGACGAUCGAUCCUAUUUUGUUGGUUUCUAGGAUUGACGUA